GGCCUUUGGUAGGAGAAAAUUUCUGGGAAGAAGCUUUGGGGGGCAACUAAGUCUGGGAAAGAGUCUUGGGAAUGAGGAGGAAGUUUAAACGUGUUUUUGUUAAGAAGACCAACCUUUAAGAAGGAAGGUUCUUUUUAUUCUUUUAAGCAGUAUAUGGUUUCUGCUUUAAGGAGAACCAAAGGGAAAUCAAAUCUGAAUCGAACUCUCAGGGACUGCACGUGCCUGGUGCCAUCCCAUGUGGAGGUCUGCCUGAAGGCAAUGUGAAUCCUCGCAGGUCUUGGACAAGGCCAUGGCCUUUUGGUGUGCCUGAGGUAUCCUGUCUGCCAUUAGCUGACAAAGUCAAAAGGUGUGCUUUUCUCUUUCGUUCUUGCAUAGAGUUAGAGGCAAUGGCAAUUUAAUCCGUGACUGAGGCUCUGCAAUGGUGCAAGUCUAUCCUACUGCUUCAAGUUCAGUGAUGCAAACUGAGUUUACACUAAUUAACUUUCAGGGAUUGAACCAAUUAAAAGCUUUUGGACUAUGACAAUUCUUGGAAAACAUUCCCACAGGUUUAUUUUCUUCUUUUACAUUUGUUUGCUAUCUCCAUCUCAUUCAAUGCAGGGAGGACUGGUUUGCUUCUCUCUUGUCUGGAAAAGUUCCCUGCACUAGGAACCAUGGUUAGAAUCAGAGUCCUGAUCUAAGAGUAUGAUGAAAAGUGUUGCACUCCAAGUUGGAAACUGUAGAAGAAAAUGUUCAUGUAUAUGUAAGAAUUGUACUCAAACAGCUGAUUACACCUUUUCAUACUCUUUAACAGAUGCUUACACCUUUUAAGGGAAAACUAAAACUAAGAAGCAACAGGCAGUUUUCUACGUUUCCCUUGGGAAUAGUGUACUCUUCUGUAUUUUACUUCUAUACAAACAGUUCAAACUGUUCAAAAACUGUUCUGUUCAAAAGUUCUGUUCUCAGUCAUACAACCAAACAACCUUGCAUGGCAUUACAUGUUCCCCUCCACAUAAAUCAAGCCCUGAAUGCAAGAUCAGACAAGUAAAUAAUGCCAACAUGUAAAACUAAUUUGAAAAUACAUUACUUUUUUUUUUUU